rnacentral:rRNA from 1 species
UACGAAGGGGGCUAGCGUUGCUCGGAAUCACUGGGCGUAAAGGGUGCGUAGGCGGGUCUUUAAGUCAGGGGUGAAAUCCUGGAGCUCAACUCCAGAACUGCCUUUGAUACUGAGGAUCUUGAGUUCGGGAGAGGUGAGUGGAACUGCGAGUGUAGAGGUGAAAUUCGUAGAUAUUCGCAGGAACAUCCGAGGCGAAAGCGGCUUGCUGGAUCGCAACUGACGCUGAGGGACGAAAGCUAGGGGAGCAAACAGG